CAAUCACUUGAAAAGUUUUAUGUACAGUUCAUUUAUGAGAUUCUAGAGGCACUCUUCUUCCCUUCUCUCUCUCAAAAUCCCUACUCCCAUUUCAAAAUUCAAUAAAUGAUGGCCGGUGUAACCACAUAUUCGUGAAGAUGGUGGCCUCUGUUCAGGUAAGACGACGACAAUGAAGAUGACGUCUAGGGUUUGCAGCGGCUCUACAGGCGGUAAAAGUGGUGAUUCUGAACCAAACGCGAAAGUAGAAGAAUGUGUACGGACGGAACCAAACACAACCUUCAUCUUCCUCUUCUGGUACCAAAAUCAUCUCUCUUUGUCUUUGGUUUUCCAUGGGUCCUCAAUGUUUUACAUCUCUAGGGUUAACUCCGAUUCUUUGAUGGAGGGAUGGUUUGGAGGUGUUUUGGGGACUAAUAAUUGAUGUGGUGUUAGUUAUUUCUCUUGGUGUCGAUAUGGUAGUAGCUUCCUCACUAGAUGAUGCUUGAUGAGCUUGCCGAAGGUUCAACGAAGCCCAGAUCUCUGUGCUUUGAUGAAAAAAGGAGAACUCGAUAACUAAAACUGUAUGCGAUGUAUAGAAAUUACUUGUUACUUUAUGUGGAUCCAUCAAGCAACGAAGCCCAUAUCUGGCUAAGAUACUAAAGGUCCGGUUGUUACUAGCUGCUAAGGAUUAUGUAGAGGCAAUUUCGGAAUCAUGCUGAAAAACAAUAAAAAAUAGCUCUGGAUAAGGGAAAACUUGAAGAUGCGGUUAGCUAUGGAACAAACAGUAAUUUAUAUCUUCCUGCUUAUGCUUUUGAGGGUUUGGGUGCAAGUUUAAAUGAGAGUGACAGUGUCCAUAUGGUAGUUUUCAGUGUGGUUUAGUUGUGUUGUUUAAUGUCCGUGUUCAUCAAAAUGGGAAACAUCCAGCAUUAUACAACCCCCACGAAUAAUAGUGGGUGGAGUCGUCCACGAGUGGAAAGGGUUAUGUCUUGACCCUUCAUUGAUUCAACUAUAAUUUUUUUACUUUUAACAUUGUACAGCUACUGUCAAAAUUUCCCACGUAUUUUGUUGGAGAACAUUCAAGAUAAUACAUGCAUGAAUGUGAAUUAGCUGAACAUGUCGUAGGUUUGACGUGCCACCUUGCCUCAUGCCAAUUCAGGCACCUUGUUUUCACAUUUUCCUCGCCGAUCCAUGUGUUGGGGAGUGUUUGGAUGUGUGUUUAAUUGAUCUGUUUUAAGUGUUACUGUUAAAGUAAACUUGCCAUCCUAACCACUUGGGACAAAAACAUGCAUAUUUUGGUGUAAAAAAUGAUUAUUGAGAUAAAUGUUGAGUUAUAUAGCUAAUGGCGUGCGUUUUUCCAUUUAUAAUACAUAUAUAUUUUUUAUUUCAUCUUUAUUUCUUUAGUAACCUAAUCACUCUCAUUACAUCAAAUGGUUUGAUUUUUUGAUUUUCUGUAAGUACUAUGACAUUUGUUAAUUUGUUUUCAUAUAAUCUUGGAGUUAUCAUAAUUAUUGCAAACAGAAGCUUACUUAGCUAUCUGUUAAUGCCAAUGGUUACCUUAUCUCCAAAGAUGCUACUGAACGAACUUUUAUAAAAAAAGAGCACUUGGUUUUAAGAUUUUACCUUUUUCCGUCACAAAAUUUGUAGCUAUCAGAUUUUUUUUGCCCAACUAACAAACUUAGCAAAUGACGAUUACUGCAUGAUUUAUUAUUUUUUUCGUAUGUGUCAAAUGGGUCAGGUUGGGCCAACCCACAAACACUUUAUUAUACUUUUUUAGAUAUUUCAUAAGUACUUAAUACUUUAAAUGACAAAACUAUAUUAUUAUAAUAACCUUCGAAGAUCUUUAAAAAAGCAAUAUGGAAGCAUUAUGUAUUUGAAUUUAUAUGAGAUGGCCUUCAACCUAUUUAAAAAGGUAUACUUUAGAUGACUCACAAAUCACAAUAUGUUCAACAUGUUCCUAUUUUAGCCCAAUUUUUAUAUCCAACUCACAUCGUCUCAGUCACAAGUUAAUUGAUUGAAAUUUUCACAUCUGAUUUUCAGUCUUACCAUGCACUAUUAUUGGGGUAUAAAUGUAAUUUUUUUCUCUCAGGUGGAGGAUUGCGGAUUGCCCUGAUGAUGCAGCAAGUUACAUACAUAGAGGUUGCAGCACAGCCCGUUAUGAUUCUGUACGGCGGCCGGUCUUAUUUCUCUUGCAUACAGAGAUGAAAAUGCUUGAAAGAUUACAAGAGAAAAAGACACAUGUUCAAUUUGACAAGUGUUGCAAUUUUAAUUUACAACAGCCAAAGACAAAACGAAUGCAAUCUUGUCCUGGCAUGUUAGCUGCUCUGCUAGCAAAGUACACAGACUUGUAGAGUUUCGCUCAACGGGCCUUCAAUAUAUGAAGAUGUCAUUUUGACUAUAACAGAUGGAUUUGAUUGAUUCUUUUUGGUCUCUGCUAUUAACCUUAUAUGUUUUCUCACUGCUAGCAGUGAUAGUAAUGAGGUGAGUUAAAGAGUCGAUGUCAAGAAGGCAAAACCAUAGGCAGGCGGUGUUGAAUAUCAACUACAAAUAUUGUAAUUAUACAUGUAGUGGCCGUAAUAUUUUGUAAUAGUUACCAAAUUCCUAACAUGUGCGCGACAUGAAAAGUUUACAACUCUUCUUGUAGCGAAGACCUUUAAUGUCAUACUGCUUUUUGUAUGAUUUUACCGAA